UAGAGAGAAAGAAAUGGAUAAGGCCAAAGUUUGAGGAGGAACAGGAUAUUAUCUCCCUGUAAGAUUCUCAUUAAUUACAAAGAAGAAGGUGCAAUUGUACAGUGGAGAAACCAGGAAGACAUCAUGUUGACUAAGCAAGGGUGUGAACAUCACCAGGAAGGAGACACAGUGGCAUCAGUUACCUCCUAUGUGCCACACUAAAGAGGGAGCAUUGCUUCUGUGGGGCCUUGCCCUAAAUGGACAGCUCCAGUCUCAUGACAAGGAAAACACCAAACAUCCAAACUGGUAACUGGCCAGCAUUUGUCAAAAGUGUUAAGAGUAUAAAGAACUAAUAAAGACAGAGGAACUGCCAAGGAUUACAGGAGACUAAGGAGACAUGACAACUACAUCUGAUGUGGGAUCCUGGCUCAGAAAAAGGCCAUCAGUGAGACAUCUCAUGACAUUUGAGCCUUGUCCCUGUUGAGUGUGCUGGGCGUCAGGCUGAGGGCAGUGUCUUUGUUGGGGCCGGGAUGUGGUGACCAAGAUGAGUGAAUAAAGCUGGAAGAGAGACAGUGAGGUCUGAGGCAAAGUGCAGGCGGAAACCAAAGGCAACGAGAAAACAGAAGCCUCGAGAAGAGUGAAUUGACCAGUUCAAGGUUUAUUAAACUCCAGAGUAUUUAAAACAGCCCCCAUGGUGGCAUGUGCCGGUAGCAGUCCCAGCUACUUGGGAAGCCAAGGGAGAAGUUCCGGACCUCAGGAGUUCAAUGUCAGCCUGGGCAACAUAGCAAGACCCUGUCUUAUUACAAAUCAAAAUUUAAAAGUAUUUAAAAUAAAAACAAGUCAAUAAAAACCUACGAAUUCCUCAUACCUCUCAAUUCCUUGAAAAG